rnacentral:rRNA from 1 species
CCUACGGGAGGCAGCAGUGGGGAAUAUUUGGCAAUGGGCGCAAGCCUGACCCAGCAACGCCGCGUGAAGGAAGAAGGCUUUCGGGUUGUAAACUUCUUUUCUCAGGGACGAAGAAAGUGACGGUACCUGAGGAAUAAGCCACGGCUAACUACGUGCCAGCAGCCGCGGUAAUACGUAGGUGGCAAGCGUUAUCCGGAUUUAUUGGGGGUAAAGGGCGUGUAGGCGGGAGCGCAAGUCAGAUGUGAAAACUCAGGGCUCAACGCUGGGCCUGCAUUUGAAACUGUGUUUCUUGAGUGCUGGGGAGGCAAUCGGAAUUCCGGGUGUAGCGGUGAAAUGCGUAGAUAUACGGAGGAACACCAGUGGCGAAGGCGGAUUGCUGGACAGUAACUGACGCUGAGGCGCGAAAGCGUGGGGAGCAAACAGGAUUAGAUACCCCUGUAGUC